UACGUAGGGUCCGAGCGUUGUCCGGAAUUAUUGGGCGUAAAGAGCUCGUAGGCGGUUCGUCGCGUCGGCUGUGAAAACCCGGAGCUCAACUCCGGGCCUGCAGUCGAUACGGGCGGACUUGAGUGUUGCAGGGGAGGACUGGAAUUCCUGGUGUAGCGGUGGAAUGCGCAGAUAUCAGGAGGAACACCAAUAGCGAAGGCAGCUCGCUGGGACGUUACUGACACUGAGGCGCGAAAGCGUGGGGAGCGAACAGG
rnacentral:rRNA from 1 species